ensembl:lncRNA
GUCCUCUUUGCUGCUCACAUCCUUCACAUAUUUCCAUCCCAAGCCUAACACCUUCACUCCCAGGUCCUGAGGCUUGGGGUGAGGUCCUCAGAUGCCCCUGCAGAGGCCCCCUUAUGAAGGAAGAAGCGGAAGCCAGGAGGACACUUUCCCUACUCUGGCUCUCAGGCAAGAAACAACUACAGCUGUCCCUCUGUAUCCACAGGGAUUGGUUCCAGGACCUCCCAGGGAUACCAAAAUCCAUGGACGUUCAAGUCCCUUGCAUAAAACAGCAAAGAAUUUGCAUAUGACCUACACACAUCCUCCCAUUUACUUUAAAUCAUCUCUAGAUUACUUAAAAAUACCCAAUAAAUGCUAUGUGAAUAGCUGCCAGCAAGUGGCAAUUCAAGCUUUGCUUUUUGGAAUUUUCUGGAAAAAAAUUUUUUUUUCAGAAUAUCUUUCAUUCACUGUUGGUUGAAUCCAUGGAUGCAGAACCCACAGAUAAGAAAGGUGACUGGAGAGGUCUUUUUCUGUACUCAAUAAAUGGUCUUCAUAUUUCUUAUUUUGUGAUUAUCCCCACUCAUUCAAGAGAAGGAGAAAAAAUCUGCAAGUGUCUAUUUAAAGGAAAAAAUGGUAUGAGAGAGAGGAAGUAAAGAGCAACUUGGCAACGAAUCUACUGUUUUUAAACAAGUCAAUAUUAAACAAACACAUCAAUUUUUACUCUAUUUUUCUCUUUGUAUACAAUUUUCAAUUAAUCUAUACCUGCCUUUCCAAUGUGUUCUUCAAAUGAGCCAUUUCACUAUAAUUUCUGCACUGU